AAAUUGAAGAGUUUGAUCAUGGCUCAGAUUGAACGCUGGCGGCAGGCCUAACACAUGCAAGUCGAGCGGAAACGAGUUAUCUGAACCUUCGGGGAACGAUAACGGCGUCGAGCGGCGGACGGGUGAGUAAUGCCUAGGAAAUUGCCCUGAUGUGGGGGAUAACCAUUGGAAACGAUGGCUAAUACCGCAUGAUGCCUACGGGCCAAAGAGGGGGACCUUCGGGCCUCUCGCGUCAGGAUAUGCCUAGGUGGGAUUAGCUAGUUGGUGAGGUAAGGGCUCACCAAGGCGACGAUCCCUAGCUGGUCUGAGAGGAUGAUCAGCCACACUGGAACUGAGACACGGUCCAGACUCCUACGGGAGGCAGCAGUGGGGAAUAUUGCACAAUGGGCGCAAGCCUGAUGCAGCCAUGCCGCGUGUGUGAAGAAGGCCUUCGGGUUGUAAAGUACUUUCAGUCGUGAGGAAGGUAGUGUAGUUAAUAGCUGCAUUAUUUGACGUUAGCGACAGAAGAAGCACCGGCUAACUCCGUGCCAGCAGCCGCGGUAAUACGGAGGGUGCGAGCGUUAAUCGGAAUUACUGGGCGUAAAGCGCAUGCAGGUGGUUUGUUAAGUCAGAUGUGAAAGCCCGGGCUCAACCUCGGAAUAGCAUUUGAAACUGGCAGACUAGAGUACUGUAGAGGGGGUAGAAUUUCAGGUGUAGCGGUGAAAUGCGUAGAGAUCUGAAGGAAUACCGGUGGCGAAGGCGGCCCCCUGGACAGAUACUGACACUCAGAUGCGAAAGCGUGGGGAGCAAACAGGAUUAGAUACCCUGGUAGUCCACGCCGUAAACGAUGUCUACUUGGAGGUUGUGGCCUUGAGCCGUGGCUUUCGGAGCUAACGCGUUAAGUAGACCGCCUGGGGAGUACGGUCGCAAGAUUAAAACUCAAAUGAAUUGACGGGGGCCCGCACAAGCGGUGGAGCAUGUGGUUUAAUUCGAUGCAACGCGAAGAACCUUACCUACUCUUGACAUCCAGAGAACUUUCCAGAGAUGGAUUGGUGCCUUCGGGAACUCUGAGACAGGUGCUGCAUGGCUGUCGUCAGCUCGUGUUGUGAAAUGUUGGGUUAAGUCCCGCAACGAGCGCAACCCUUAUCCUUGUUUGCCAGCGAGUAAUGUCGGGAACUCCAGGGAGACUGCCGGUGAUAAACCGGAGGAAGGUGGGGACGACGUCAAGUCAUCAUGGCCCUUACGAGUAGGGCUACACACGUGCUACAAUGGCGCAUACAGAGGGCGGCCAACUUGCGAAAGUGAGCGAAUCCCAAAAAGUGCGUCGUAGUCCGGAUUGGAGUCUGCAACUCGACUCCAUGAAGUCGGAAUCGCUAGUAAUCGUGGAUCAGAAUGCCACGGUGAAUACGUUCCCGGGCCUUGUACACACCGCCCGUCACACCAUGGGAGUGGGCUGCAAAAGAAGUAGGUAGUUUAACCUUCGGGGGGACGCUUACCACUUUGUGGUUCAUGACUGGGGUGAAGUCGUAACAAGGUAGCGCUAGGGGAACCUGGCGCUGGAUCACCUCCUUA
rnacentral:rRNA from 1 species